GAUGAACGCUAGCUGGAGGCUUAAUACAUGCAAGUCGAGCGGGAUUGGUAGCAAUACCAUGAGAGCGGCGCACGGGUGAGUAACGCGUACACGACCUACCUCUGACAGGGGGAUAGCCCUGGGAAACUGGGAUUAAUACCGCAUAUUAUUCUGAUUAAUAAAGGAUUGGAAUGAAAGUUCAGGCGGUCAGAGAUGGGUGUGCGUCUGAUUAGCUAGUUGGUAGGUAACGCCUACAAGGCGAUGAUCAGUAGGGGGCGUGAGAGCGUGGUCCCCCACACGGGUACUGAGACACGGACCCGACUCCUACGGGAGGCAGCAGUAAGGAAUAUUGGACAAUGGCCGAAAGGCUGAUCCAGCCAUCCAGCGUGCAGGAAGAAGGCCCUAU
rnacentral:rRNA from 1 species